rnacentral:piRNA from 1 species
UAGCAUUAAAGUCUUAUGGACUGAGUUACC